UACGUAGGGCGCAAGCGUUGUCCGGAAUUAUUGGGCGUAAAGAGCUCGUAGGCGGCUUGUCACGUCGGAUGUGAAAGCCCGGGGCUUAACUCCGGGUCUGCAUUCGAUACGGGCUGGCUAGAGUGUGGUAGGGGAGAUCGGAAUUCCUGGUGUAGCGGUGAAAUGCGCAGAUAUCAGGAGGAACACCGGUGGCGAAGGCGGAUCUCUGGGCCUGUACUGACGCUGAGGAGCGAAAGCGUGGGGAGCGAACAGG
rnacentral:rRNA from 1 species